GGUCAAGCGAAUAAGCGCACACGGUGGAUGCCUUGGCAGCUGGAGGCGAUGAAGGACGUUGGAGCCUGCGAAAAGCUUCGGGGAGUCGGCAACCAGACUUUGAUCCGGAGAUAUCCGAAUGGGGAAACCCACUGGCAUAAGCCAGUAUUCCUGGACUGAAUACAUAGGACCAGGGAGGCGAACGCGGGGAACUGAAACAUCUAAGUACCCGCAGGAAAAGAAAUCAACCGAGAUUCCCCUAGUAGCGGCGAGCGAACGGGGGAAGAGCCCAGCACUUGUAUCGCGACACGUCAUAGGAGAAGGGCCUGGAAAGGCCGGCCAUAGUGGGUGAUAGCCCCGUAUCCGAAAUGGCGUGUCGAGUUGAGUGCGAUGAGUAGGUCGGAACACGUGUUAUUUUGACUGAAGAUAGGGGGACCAUCCUCCAAGGCUAAAUACUCCCUGACCGACCGAUAGUGAACCAGUACCGUGAGGGAAAGGCGAAAAGAACCCCGGAGAGGGGAGUGAAAUAGAUCCUGAAACCGUGUGCGUACAAGCAGUGGGAGCCCGCAAGGGUGACCGCGUACCUUUUGUAUAAUGGGUCAGCGACUUACUGUCAGUGGCGAGCUUAACCGUCUAGGGGAGGCGUAGGGAAACCGAGUCUUAAUAGGGCGUUUCAGUCGCUGGUAGUAGACCCGAAACCGGGCGAUCUAGCCAUGGACAGGGUGAAGGUUCGGUAACACGGACUGGAGGCCCGAACCGGGAUCUGUUGAAAAAGAUUCGGAUGAUCUGUGGCUAGGAGUGAAAGGCUAAUCAAGCCCGGAGAUAGCUGGUUCUCCGCGAAAGCUAUUUAGGUAGCGCGUCAGGUGAUUACCCUCGGGGGUAGAGCACUGUUUCGGCUAGGGGUCAUCCCGACUUACCAAACCGUUGCAAACUCCGAAUACCUGGGAGUACAGCGUGGGAGACACACGGCGGGUGCUAACGUCCGUCGUGAAGAGGGAAACAACCCAGACCGCCAGCUAAGGUCCCCAAUACUGGUUAAGUGGGAAACGAUGUGGGAAGGCUCAGACAGCUAGGAGGUUGGCUUAGAAGCAGCCAUCCUUUAAAGAAAGCGUAAUAGCUCACUAGUCGAGUCGGCCUGCGCGGAAGAUUUAACGGGGCUAAACCAGUAACCGAAGCUGCGGGUGCGUGCACUUCACUUAACGCCAUCAUCCUGGAGCUUGUCCUCGCGCGUGAGCGCGGGAUAGCCAUUCAUCACGUUGAGUCGUGAUGAAGGGGUCAAUGGGGCGAUGCGGUGGUGUUAAGGAAGUGCAUGCGCGGUAGCGGAGCGUUCCGUAAGCCUGUGAAGGAGAAUCGGGAGGUUCUCUGGAGGUAUCGGAAGUGCGAAUGCUGACAUGAGUAACGACAAGGGAGGUGAAAAACCUCCCCGCCGGAAGACCAAGGGUUCCUGCGCAACGGUAAUCGGCGCAGGGUGAGUCGGCCCCUAAGGCGAGGGCGAAAGCCGUAGUCGAUGGGAAGUUGGUUAAUAUUCCAACACCUUUUGUUACUGCGAUGGGGGGACGGAGAAGGCUAGGCCAGCGCGGCGUUGGUUGUCCGCGUUCAAGCGAGUAGGGAGAUCUCUUAGGUAAAUCCGGGGGGUCAAUUCCGAGACGCGAUAACGAGCUGUCAAGGCUUCGGUCUGACGGUGAAGUGGUUGAUGCCAUGCUUCCAGGAAAAGCCUCUAAGCUUCAGGUAACAAGGGACCGUACCCCAAACCGACACAGGUGGUCAGGUAGAGAAUACCAAGGCGCUUGAGAGAACUCGGGUGAAGGAACUAGGCAAAAUGGUACCGUAACUUCGGGAGAAGGUACGCCGCUUGGGGUGAUCGGACUUGCUCCGUGAGCUCCGGGCGGUCGAAGUGACCAGGUGGCUGCGACUGUUUAUUAAAAACACAGCACUCUGCAAACACGAAAGUGGACGUAUAGGGUGUGACGCCUGCCCGGUGCCGGAAGGUUAAUUGAUGGGGUCAGCCGCAAGGCGAAGCUCUUGAUCGAAGCCCCGGUAAACGGCGGCCGUAACUAUAACGGUCCUAAGGUAGCGAAAUUCCUUGUCGGGUAAGUUCCGACCUGCACGAAUGGCGUAACGAUGGCCACACUGUCUCCACCCGAGACUCAGUGAAAUUGAACUCGCUGUGAAGAUGCAGUGUACCCGCGGCUAGACGGAAAGACCCCGUGAACCUUUACUACAGCUUUGCACUGGACUCUGAAUCUGUUUGUGUAGGAUAGGUGGGAGGCUAUGAAGCCGGAACGCUAGUUCUGGUGGAGCCAACCUUGAAAUACCACCCUGACAUAUUUGGGGUUCUAACCCAGGCCCGUUAUCCGGGUCGGGGACAGUGUAUGGUGGGUAGUUUGACUGGGGCGGUCUCCUCCCAAAGAGUAACGGAGGAGCACGAAGGUACCCUCAGCGUGGUCGGAAAUCACGCUUUUGAGUGCAAAGGCAUAAGGGUGCUUGACUGCGAGAGCGACGGCUCGAGCAGGUGCGAAAGCAGGUCUUAGUGAUCCGGUGGUUCUGAAUGGAAGGGCCAUCGCUCAACGGAUAAAAGGUACUCCGGGGAUAACAGGCUGAUACCGCCCAAGAGUUCAUAUCGACGGCGGUGUUUGGCACCUCGAUGUCGGCUCAUCACAUCCUGGGGCUGAAGCCGGUCCCAAGGGUAUGGCUGUUCGCCAUUUAAAGUGGUACGCGAGCUGGGUUUAGAACGUCGUGAGACAGUUCGGUCCCUAUCUGCCGUGGGCGUUGGAGAUUUGAGGAAAGCUGCUCCUAGUACGAGAGGACCGGAGUGGACGAACCUCUGGUGUUCGGGUUGUCACGCCAGUGGCAUUGCCCGGUAGCUACGUUCGGACGGGAUAACCGCUGAAAGCAUCUAAGCGGGAAGCCUCUUCCAAGAUGAGAUCUCCCCGGGGACUCGAUCCCCCUGAAGGGUUGUUCAAGACCAGGACGUUGAUAGGUGGGGUGUGUAAGCGCUGUGAGGCGUUGAGCUAACCCAUACUAAUUGCCCGUGCGGCUUGACCAU
rnacentral:rRNA from 1 species